AGUGAACGCUGGCGGUAGGCCUAACACAUGCAAGUCGAACGGCAGCACAGAGGAGCUUGCUCCUUGGGUGGCGAGUGGCGGACGGGUGAGGAAUACAUCGGAAUCUACUCUGUCGUGGGGGAUAACGUAGGGAAACUUACGCUAAUACCGCAUACGACCUACGGGUGAAAGCAGGGGACCUUCGGGCCUUGCGCGAUUGAAUGAGCCGAUGUCGGAUUAGCUAGUUGGCAGGGUAAAGGCCCACCAAGGCGACGAUCCGUAGCUGGUCUGAGAGGAUGAUCAGGCACACUGGAACUGAGACACGGUCCAGACUCCUACGGGAGGCAGCAGUGGGGAAUAUUGGACAAUGGGCGCAAGCCUGAUCCAGCCAUACCGCGUGGGUGAAGAAGGCCUUCGGGUUGUAAAGCCCUUUUGUUGGGAAAGAAAUCCAGCUGGCUAAUACCCGGUUGGGAUGACGGUACCGGAAGAAUAAGGACCGGCUAACUACGUGCCAGCCGCCGCCGUAA
rnacentral:rRNA from 1 species